GAGCAAGCAAGAGAGGACUCUCUGGAGAGAGGGAGAGGGAUCGGAAAGCGAGAGAGAAACCAAGAGAGAGAGAGAGAAAGAGAGAGAGACAAAGAGGAGUCCUACAUGCCUCCAGCAUGCCCAGAAAAUACAGUAUUCAACACUAGGAUCUUGACGAAGAUCAGAAGACGCCUGCCUGGUCUUGCCUGACCCCCGGCUCCCCACACCUCCCAGAGGCCGCGAUUAAUUGGCUUGAGUUUAUUAGGCGGCCAGAGAUUGAGA